rnacentral:rRNA from 1 species
AUGAAAGACCUCGGUGAAGUUGCUUAUAUAUUGGGCAUUAAGAUCUAUAGAGAUAGAUCAAGACGCUUAAUUGGACUUUCACAAAGCACAUACCUUGACAAAAUUUUGAAGAAGUUCAAAAUGGAUCAAGCAAAGAAAGGAUUCUUUCCUGUCACGGAUUCUGGGGGCGGAAGGAGGGGGGCCGCGGCGCCGAACGUUGUGGUCAUUAGUUCCGACGAGGAGGAGGAGGAGGAGGGCGACGGAUCUGCCCCCGUGGCCGGGAAGUUGCGUUUUGGUGAAGAAGAAGGGCCGACCGGGGGCUCCAAUCUCGUGGUGGUGAAGAAGGGCAAGUCCGGUGGCGUCGAGGAGGAGGACGACGAUUGCUGGGUCCUAGACGGUGACCCCGACGGGCCGGUUGCCGUUGUGAAACAGGAGAGGAGGGUGAGCCUUGGUGGCAGCUUGGAUGAAGUGUUCAUAGUUGCAGAGAAAGGCCAGGUAGCGUGCAGGGACUUCCCUCACUCGCGCCAUUUAUGCUCUAGCUUGCCCUUUGGCACUACUUCUCACGUCAGGCAUUGUACCAUGUGCUACUGUUUUGUAUGCGAUGUUCCAGCUCCAUGCAAAUAG